rnacentral:rRNA from 1 species
GGUGGCAAUAGCGGAGGGGAAACACCCGUUCCCAUCCCGAACACGGCCGUUAAGCCCUCCAGCGCCGAUGGUACUGCACGGAGCCACCGUGUGGGAGAGUAGGACGUCGCC